AGUCACAGAGAAAUCCUGACAGAAAUGCAGCCCUGGAGGAUGGAGCGGCCCUGUUCUUGGGGGUUCCUGGCUCCUGUCCUCAUGGCGUGCAGUGCCAUGGGCAGGCUGAGGCUGAGUGUGCUAGGAAGCAGAGACUAUACAAACUAGGAACCGUGAGAAGAGCUGACUGGGAAUGGGUGCCAAGCUCAAUCACAGGUUCCUGUCCUGACUUCCUUCAGUGAUGGGCUAUGACGUGGAAGAAACCCUUUCCCCUCCAACUUGCUUUUUGGUCAUGAUGCUUCAUCUGGGCAACAGAAAGCCCCACCUAAGACAAUGGCACAGCUGCAGAGGAGAGCAAAAGGGCAGAAGAGGCAGGUGCUGACUUCAAAUCCCCAUAGAAGAAAAGGCUUGCGUAAAAUUCCCCAUAGAGCACCAGGAGAGGACAACGGAAUCUGCUCCUGCCCCCGCUCUGCUGUUCUCAGACAGCAGACAGGGUACACACUUGCUGCCUCAUGCCCAGGGGGCCCUCAAGCUGUGGAUUGGCUGUCUACCUUCUUGGAUCUCCUGUACUUCGGUCGUCCCCGUUUUCCAUGGGAGCUCCUCGUUCCUGGAAUGGCUGGUUGGUGUCCCCUCUUGGGCACACUUCUGAUUUUAUAAACGACAGGUGCUGCCGGCCCAGUGCUUCGGUCCCUCCAUCUGGCUUAGCCUCUAGUACACUAGCAGAGUAUCUCUGUGAUCAAGAUACAUGGCCCAAACUUACUGUGAUUUAAACUCUGCAAAAGUACAUUUUGGAGUUUCACAUUUAAGUUUUUAAAAUUUUAACUAAACUCUGCUUGAAACAAAAUUAAACUUUUCUCAAUUUAAAAUUAAAUAAGGAUCCAGAUGGUGGCAUGUACCUUUAAUUGCACCACUGGAGGAACAUGAGUUUCUGGCUAGCCUGGGCUACACAGUAAGACCCAUCACCAAACAAAAUGCAAAAAAAGGAGCAAACAACAACCUAAUAAAGGCAAACCAGUAGCAGAAUGCAAAGACCUGUCUGGAAGGACCACUGGACAUAUACAAAGAGGAGGCACGCUCAAAUAAAAAACUAUGUGAAAAAA
rnacentral:lncRNA from 1 species